AAAUAAUAUAGACAUUUGAAAUGUUAUAUUAUUGGCUAUGUACAGUGUUGUAACAAAGUGCAAAUAGUUAAAGUACAACAGGGAAAAUAAAUAAACUGAUAAAUAUAGGUUAUAUUUACAAUGGUGUGACUCCACUGGUUGCCCUUUUCAUGUGGUAACAGGUCACACAUCUGGUGUGUUUUAAUCUGAGGGGAAUAUGUCUCUCUAAUAUGGUCAUACAUUUGACAGGAGGUUAGGAAGUGCAGCUCGGGUUCCACUUAAUUUUGUGUGAACAUAGGAAGACCUGUCUCUCAAGAGAAGACAGGCUAUCGCAGCCUCUCAAUAUGCAAGGCCAUGCUCACUGAAUCUGUACAUAGUCAAAGCUUUUCUUAAUUGUGGGUUAGUCACAGUGAUCAGGUAUUCUGCCACUGUGUACUCUCUGUUUAGGACCAAAUAACAUUCCAGUUUGAUAUUUUUUUUAUAGUUAAUUCUUUCCAAUGUGUCAAGUAAUUCACUUUUUGUUUUCUCAUUUGAUUGGGUUUCAUAAUUUUUUUUUGUGUGCUCUAGGGCAACAGUGUCUAGGUGUAAUUUGUAUUUGUGGUCCUGGCUGGGUGGUGGCUGGUGAGCUGGGCUAUAGAUGAGGGGUGCUGGCUGGGCUAUAGAUGAGGGGAGGUGGCUGGCUGGCUGGGCUAUAGAUGAGGAGUGGUGGCUGGCUGGCUGGGCUAUAGAUGAGGGGAGGUGGCUGGCUGGCUGGGCUAUAGAUGAGGGGAGGUGGCUGGCUGGCUGGGCUAUAGAUGAGAGGAGGUGGCUGGUUGGGCUAUAGAUGAGGGGAGAUGGCUGGCUGGGCUAUAGAUGAGAGGGGGUGGCUGGCUGGGCUAUAGAUGAGGGGAGGUGGCUGGCUGAGCUAUAGAUGAGAGGAGGUGGCUGGCUGAGCUAUAGAUGAGGGGAGGUGGCUGGCUGAGCUAUAGAUGAGAGGAGGUGGCUGGCUGAGCUAUAGAUGAGAGGAGGUGGCUGGCUGGCUGGGCUAUAGAUGAGAGGAGAUGGCUGGCUGGCUGGGCUAUAGAUGAGAGGAGAUGGCUGGCUGGCUGGGCUAUAGAUGAGAGGAGGUGGCUGGCUGGCUGGGCUAUAGAUGAGGGGAGGUGGCUGGCUGGCUGGGCUAUAGAUGAGGGGAGGUGGCUGGCUGGCUGGGCUAUAGAUGAGGGGAGGUGGCUG